rnacentral:rRNA from 1 species
CCAGACUCCUACGGGAGGCAGCAGUGAGGAAUAUUGGUCAAUGGUCGGGAGACUGAACCAGCCAAGCCGCGUGAGGGAGGAAGGUACAGAGUAUCGUAAACCUCUUUUGUCAGGGAACAAAGGCGGGGACGUGUCCCCGGAUGAGUGUACCUGAAGAAAAAGCAUCGGCUAACUCCGUGCCAGCAGCCGCGGUAAUACGGAGGAUGCGAGCGUUAUCCGGAUUUAUUGGGUUUAAAGGGUGCGCAGGCGGUUUGGUACUCCGGGGGACACCCCCGGGGCCCCCCCCCCGCCCCGCCGUUGAAACUGGCAGUCUCGAGUUGGAGAGAAGUAUGCGGAAUGCGCGGUGUAGCGGUGAAAUGCAUAGAUAUCGCGCAGAACUCCGAUUGCGAAGGCAGCAUGCCGGCUCCACACUGACGCUGAGGCACGAAAGCGUGGGUAUCGAACAGGAUUAGAUACCCCAGUAC